AGUGAACGCUGGCGGUAGGCCUAACACAUGCAAGUCGAACGGCAGCACAGUAAGAGCUUGCUCUUACGGGUGGCGAGUGGCGGACGGGUGAGGAAUACAUCGGAAUCUACUUUUUCGUGGGGGAUAACGUAGGGAAACUUACGCUAAUACCGCAUACGACCUACGGGUGAAAGCAGGGGAUCUUCGGACCUUGCGCGAUUGAAUGAGCCGAUGUCGGAUUAGCUAGUUGGCGGGGUAAAGGCCCACCAAGGCGACGAUCCGUAGCUGGACUGAGAGGAUGAUCAGCCACACUGGACCUGGGACACGGUCCAGGCUCCUACGGGAGGCAGCAGAGGGGAAUAUUGGACAAUGGGCGCAAGCCUGAUCCAGACAUACCGCGUGGGUGAAGAAGGCCUUCGGGUUGUAAAGCCCUUUUGUUGGGAAAAAAAAGCAGCAGGUUAAUACCCCGCUGUUCUGACGGUACCCAAAGAAUAAGCACCGGCUAACUUCGUG
rnacentral:rRNA from 1 species